GACGUAGGGGACGAGCGUUGUCCGGAUUCAUUGGGCGUAAAGCGCGCGUGGGCGGUUUGGUAAGUCGGACGUGAAAACACGAGGCUCAACCUCGUGCGUGCAUCCGAUACUGCCCGACUAGAGGUAGGUAGGGGAGAUCGGAAUUCCUGGUGUAGCGGUGAAAUGCGCAGAUAUCAGGAGGAACACCGGUGGCGAAGGCGGAUCUCUGGGCCUUACCUGACGCUGAGGCGCGAAAGCGUGGGGAGCAAACAGG
rnacentral:rRNA from 1 species